CUUGCAAGCCUUUUAGCAACUCCUGAAGAAUAGAGGGUAGGUAAUUGUUGAUUUGUUAAUACGGCGUCACGUGAUAUGCAAAGCAUGCUGUUCCGCCCCACCCUGGUUCCCUGACUGCAUUGCAAGAUACUCCAUGAGGAAAUAUUUUGGUACCGGGUGGGGGGUGAAGUUCAGUUCUAAACAUUUGGUCCUCUAUAUUUAUAUACAAUGUCACAAAGACCUGGCUCGUGUUAGCGUCAGUGUCUGCACGUGAGCACGGAUGAUAUUUUAGUCUGACUUCUGAAUAAAAGGGCCUUAAAUGCACCACAGGAGACACGAGGCAAUGCGCGCAAAAAGGAGUGAUCUGAUUUAUCUCGCUGUUACUCUGCGCAUUCUCCCUUAUAAAAGGUUUGACAUUGGGAUCAGAUACUUCGUCUAUAAACACGACUGACUUUUCUCAGCCACAUGGAAAUGAGGUUAAAUUCAUUUGGACUUGACCAAUAAAUAAAGUUUUACCACAAAGAUUCA
rnacentral:lncRNA from 1 species